rnacentral:rRNA from 1 species
CCGACUGCGGAGGAUCAUUAUCGAGUUUUGAACAGGUUGUAGCUGGCCUCUUACGAGGUAUGUGCACGCCUGGCUCAUCCACUCUUCAACCCCUGUGCACUUUUCAUAGAACAGGCAGAGGCUGGGAACAUUUCUCAGUUCGAUGUUUGCUCUGUGUAAUUUUUAUACCAACUCUUGUAUAUGAAUGUCUUCUUGCAGAUAAUGCAAACAAUAAAAUAACUUUCAGCAACGGAUCUCUUGGCUCUCGCAUCGAUGAAGAACGCAGCGAAAUGCGAUAAGUAAUGUGAAUUGCAGAAUUCAGUGAAUCAUCGAAUCUUUGAACGCACCUUGCGCUCCUUGGUAUUCCUUGGAGCAUGCCUGUUUGAGUAUCAUGGAAAUCUCAACUCCCAAGUUUUUUUGAAACAUGGUGAGCUUGGACUUGGAGGAUAUGUGCUGGCUAUUAAUCUAGUUGGCUCCUCUGAAAUGCAUUAGCAUGAAUUUUGCAAUCAUCUUCAGUGUGAUAAUUGUCUGCGCUGUGGAUGUAAAGCAAUAUAUGUUCAUGCUUAUAGCUGUCUUCUAAAGACAUUUCUUUGACUUCUGAUCUCAAAUCAGGUAGGACUACCCGCUGAACUUAAGCAUAUCAAUAAGCCGGAGGAA